rnacentral:rRNA from 1 species
AGACCCGAAACCCGGUGAUCUAGCCAUGGGCAGGUUGAAGGUUGGGUAACACUAACUGGAGGACCGAACCGACUAAUGUUGAAAAAUUAGCGGAUGACCUGUGGCUGGGGGUGAAAGGCCAAUCAAACCGGGAGAUAGCUGGUUCUCCCCGAAAGCUAUUUAGGUAGCGCCUCGUGAAUUCAUCUCCGGGGGUAGAGCACUGUUUCGGCUAGGGGGCCAUCCCGGCUUACCAACCCGAUGCAAACUGCGAAUACCGGAGAAUGUUAUCACGGGAGACACACGGCGGGUGCUAACGUCCGUCGUGAAGAGGGAAACAACCCAGACCGCCAGCUAAGGUCCCAAAGUCAUGGUUAAGUGGGAAACGAUGUGGGAAGGCCCAGACAGCCAGGAUGUUGGCUUAGAAGCAGCCAUCAUUUAAAGAAAGCGUAAUAGCUCACUGGUCGAGUCGGCCUGCGCGGAAGAUGUAACGGGGCUAAACCAUGCACCGAAGCUGCGGCAGCGAACGUAUCACCCAAGACAACUUUACGGAGUUGACGAUUGACGGAGCGAAGCGACGUCAAAGCGUUCAUUAAAGUCGAGUUGGCUUAGGGAUACGUUCGUUGGGUAGGGGAGCGUUCUGUAAGCCUGUGAAGGUGUGUCGUGAGGCAUGCUGGAGGUAUCAGAAGUGCGAAUGCUGACAUAAGUAACGAUAAAGCGGGUGAAAAGCCCGCUCGCCGGAAGACCAAGGGUUCCUGUCCAACGUUAAUCGGGGCAGGGUGAGUCGACCCCUAAGGCGAGGCCGAAAGGCGUAGUCGAUGGGAAACGGGUUAAUAUUCCCGUACUUGGUGUUACUGCGAAGGGGGGACGGAGAAGGCUAUGUUGGCCGGGCGACGGUUGUCCCGGUUUAAGCGUGUAGGUGUGUGUUCCAGGUAAAUCCGGUUCACUUUAACACUGAGGCGUGACGACGAGGCACUACGGUGCUGAAGCAACAAAUGCCCUGCUUCCAGGAAAAGCCUCUAAGCAUCAGGUAACAUCAAAUCGUACCCCAAACCGACACAGGUGGUCAGGUAGAGAAUACCAAGGCGCUUGAGAGAACUCGGGUGAAGGAACUAGGCAAAAUGGUGCCGUAACUUCGGGAGAAGGCACGCUGACACGUAGGUGAAGUGAUUUACUCAUGGAGCUGAAGUCAGUCGAAGAUACCAGCUGGCUGCAACUGUUUAUUAAAAACACAGCACUGUGCAAACACGAAAGUGGACGUAUACGGUGUGACGCCUGCCCGGUGCCGGAAGGUUAAUUGAUGGGGUCAGCGCAAGCGAAGCUCCUGAUCGAAGCCCCGGUAAACGGCGGCCGUAACUAUAACGGUCCUAAGGUAGCGAAAUUCCUUGUCGGGUAAGUUCCGACCUGCACGAAUGGCGUAAUGAUGGCCAGGCUGUCUCCACCCGAGACUCAGUGAAAUUGAACUCGCUGUGAAGAUGCAGUGUACCCGCGGCAAGACGGAAAGACCCCGUGAACCUUUACUAUAGCUUGACACUGAACAUUGAGCCUUGAUGUGUAGGAUAGGUGGGAGGCUUUGAAGUGUGGACGCCAGUCUGCAUGGAGCCGACCUUGAAAUACCACCCUUUAAUGUUUGAUGUUCUAACGUGGACCCGUAAUCCGGGUUGCGGACAGUGUCUGGUGGGUAGUUUGACUGGGGCGGUCUCCUCCUAAAGAGUAACGGAGGAGCACGAAGGUUGGCUAAUCCUGGUCGGACAUCAGGAGGUUAGUGCAAUGGCAUAAGCCAGCUUGACUGCGAGCGUGACGGCGCGAGCAGGUGCGAAAGCAGGUCAUAGUGAUCCGGUGGUUCUGAAUGGAAGGGCCAUCGCUCAACGGAUAAAAGGUACUCCGGGGAUAACAGGCUGAUACCGCCCAAGAGUUCAUAUCGACGGCGGUGUUUGGCACCUCGAUGUCGGCUCAUCACAUCCUGGGGCUGAAGUAGGUCCCAAGGGUAUGGCUGUUCGCCAUUUAAAGUGGUACGCGAGCUGGGUUUAGAACGUCGUGAGACAGUUCGGUCCCUAUCUGCCGUGGGCGCUGGAGAACUGAGGGGGGCUGCUCCUAGUACGAGAGGACCGGAGUGGACGCAUCACUGGUGUUCGGGUUGUCAUGCCAAUGGCACUGCCCGGUAGCUAAAUGCGGAAGAGAUAAGUGCUGAAAGCAUCUAAGCACGAAACUUGCCCCGAGAUGAGUUC